rnacentral:rRNA from 1 species
AUACGUAGGGUGCGAGCGUUAUCCGGAAUCAUUGGGCGUAAAGAGCUCGUAGGCGGUUCAGCAAGUCGGCUGUGAAAGUUCGAGGCUCAACCUCGAAAUUGCAGUCGAUACUGCUGUGACUCGAGUCCGGUAGAGGAGAAUGGAAUUCUCGGUGUAGCGGUGAAAUGCGCAGAUAUCGAGAGGAACACCAGUAGCGGAGGCGGUUCUCUGGGCCGGCACUGACGCUGAGGAGCGAAAGCGUGGGGAGCAAACAGGAUUAGAAACCCCGGUAGUCC